rnacentral:rRNA from 1 species
AUAGAAAUAAAUAAAUUCAAAUUAAAUGAAAAUAAUAAUUUAUUUUUUUUUCUUUUUGUAUUAAGAUUUAAUAAAAAAAUAAUUUUAAAAAAAUUUUAUUUAAAAAUAUAAUGAUAAAACGAUAAUUUUAAAAAUUAAUAUAUAAAAAUUAUUUUUAAAAAUAAGUUAGAUUAGAUAAUAAAUUCAUUUUAUAUUAAUUAAUUUUAUAUUAAAUUAAUUUAAUUAAAAAUUUAAUAUUAUAUAUAAUUUAAUAUUAAAUUAAAUUUUUAUAAAGAUAAGUUUAUAAAAUUGUUAUAAUUUAUUUAAAAUUUAAAUAAUUAAUUUUUAUAAAUAAUAAUUUUAAUAUAAAAUUUAAUAAUAAUUUUUUAAUUUUUUUAAUAGUUUUAUAUUUAAUUAAAGUAAUAUAAUAAAUAAAAAAAAUAAUUUUUAUUUUUUAAUAAUGUUAAAAUUAGUAAUUAUAAGAAUUUAUUUAAUGAAUUCGACUUUAAUUUUUUAUUUGUUUAAUAAAAACAUUGUUUAAAGAAAAUAAUUUUAAAUAAAUUCUGCUCAAUGAAUAUAUAUAUUUAAAUAGCUGCAGUAUUUUAACUGUACAAAGGUAGCAUGAUAAUUUGUAUUUUAAUUGGAUAAUAGAAUGAAAGAAUAAAUAAAAAAAUUAUUUUAUUGAAUAAAUUUAAUGAAUUUAAUUUUUAAAUAAAAAAGUUUAAAUAAUUUUAAAAGACAAAAAGACCCUAAAAAUUUUAUAUUUAAAUAUUUUAUUGGGGUAAUGUUAAUAGAUUAAUUUAUUAAAAAUUUUUAUAUUAAAUUUUUUAAAAAUUACUUUAGGGAUAACAGGAUAAUUAAUUUAGAUAGAUUAAAUUAAAAAAUUAGUUUAUUACCUCGAUGUUGAAUUAAAUAAAUAAUUUAAAAUAGAAAUUAAAUUUAUAAGUUUGUUCAACUUUUAAAUAUUUACAUGAUUUGAGUUGAAACCGAUGUAAAUUAGGUUGGUUUUUAUCUUUAAGAAAAUAAUUUAAUUUAGUACGAAAGGAUUAAUUAAAUUUAAUAAUUUA